AUUGAACGCUGGCGGCAGGCCUAACACAUGCAAGUCGAGCGGAUGAAGGGAGCUUGCUCCUGGAUUCAGCGGCGGACGGGUGAGUAAUGCCUAGGAAUCUGCCUGGUAGUGGGGGAUAACGUCCGGAAACGGGCGCUAAUACCGCAUACGUCCUGAGGGAGAAAGUGGGGGAUCUUCGGACCUCACGCUAUCAGAUGAGCCUAGGUCGGAUUAGCUAGUUGGUGGGGUAAAGGCCUACCAAGGCGACGAUCCGUAACUGGUCUGAGAGGAUGAUCAGUCACACUGGAACUGAGACACGGUCCAGACUCCUACGGGAGGCAGCAGUGGGGAAUAUUGGACAAUGGGCGAAAGCCUGAUCCAGCCAUGCCGCGGGUGUGAAGAAGGUCUUCGGAUUGUAAAGCACUUUAAGUUGGGAGGAAGGGCAGUAAGUUAAUACCUUGCUGUUUGGACGUUACCAACAGAAUAAGCACCGGCUAACUUCGU
rnacentral:rRNA from 1 species